rnacentral:rRNA from 1 species
GCUUGGCAGAAACAAGGCCAACACAUACCUUAUGGCCCGCCAGAUUAUUACAAGUAAAAACUUAAAACUCAAAGGACUUGACGGUGUCCCACACACAACCUAGAGGAGCCUGUCCUAUAAUCGAUGAUCCACGAAGGACCUUACCACCUUUUGCCCAACAAUCUAUAUACCGCCGUCGGAAGUUCACCUUAUGAAAGAAAAAAAGUGAACGGAAUAGUUAGACACUAGCACGUCAGGUCAAGGUGUAGUUAAUAAGGUGGACCGAGAUGGGCUACAUUUCCUAUAAAGGAAAAACGGACGGUCAAAUGAAAAUAAACCAGAAGGAGGAUUUAGUAGUAAAACAGGAUCAGCAAGCCUGCUUGAACACACUGCCCUGGGACG